rnacentral:rRNA from 1 species
UACGUAGGGUGCAAGCGUUGUCCGGAAUUAUUGGGCGUAAAGAGCUCGUAGGCGGUUUGUCGCGUCUGCUGUGAAAACUCAGGGCUUAACCCUGAGCUUGCAGUGGGUACGGGCAGACUAGAGUGCGGUAGGGGUGACUGGAAUUCCUGGUGUAGCGGUGGAAUGCGCAGAUAUCAGGAGGAACACCGAUGGCGAAGGCAGGUCACUGGGCCGCAACUGACGCUGAGGAGCGAAAGCAUGGGGAGCGAACAGG